UGCCCAGAUCAGACUUCCUCCUCCUUCUUGUCAUUUUCCAUUUUAUGCCAAGUGACAUCCAGCGUUUUCCAGAACAGGGUGCAAUCUGCAACGUCACCACUAGAUGUCACUAAAUAUUACACAUUGAAUUUCUAAUAAAGCUCAAUUAUUCGCACCUAACUAAUAUAACCUGGUGACCUCUGUGAAGAUCAUCUCUGAUUUUAAUCCUCUAUAAAAUGUGCUAUUCGUGAAGUAAUAAAUUCACCCCAUAUUACCUCCCCUUUUUCAGUACUGUAAUCAGAAUCGACGUUUCUGUGAUUGGUAAAACAUUUAGUCAGCGUAUUUCCUGGUAAUAGAUGAAAGUUUUCAAAGCGAUUUAGGUGCAAAUUCAGGAAGGUCAUGUCAUGAUAACUUGGAUAUGAAGUCAAAGAGCAAACUUAAAUUUGUUAGAAAAGUGAUAUCUCGAACUGACAUGCAUGAACAUUUUUCUAUCUUUCUACAGUCAUUUGUAAGUGGAACUGGGGAAUAAUGUUAAAUUACGAGUAAAAAGCACACUUUACUAAUGCCAAAGGAAUACGACACAUGAAACACAGAUAUGCGUUUUAAUUUCCAAAUCUUCUGAAUGGGUCUUGAGUCAGGUAAUUGGAAACUAAAGAAGAGUAAUGGGUCCUUAUAUACUAAUAUCAAUAUUUUACCUGAUAAAUCUAGUCUUCUGGUGUGUCACUCGGUCAAAUUCACCUCCAGGCAGAACAAGUUGAGUAUCCUUGUCCUGAUAGUAGUGUAGCACUUUCCUCUCCUGUUCCCCCUCUGUAUUUUUCUCCUCACACCACAUGAGUUAUUGGACCUAUUAACAUAUCUCUCCUUCUCCUUUUCCUCUGAUGGAUCGCUAUUUUUAAAAGAAUUAUACAGAGAUAUUAAAAAAAUAUAUAUAUAUGAAAUUUAUGUCACAAAUAGAGAGAGUAUACUUGCAGUUUAUUCUGUAGUUUAUGUAAUUAUUCUGAUUAUUGGCGACUGAUUUGAUUUUGAGUAUCGAGUACGGUGAACACUUCUGUCCUCUCCAAGGCGCGGUAUUCUCGUAGUGUUAAAGAGUAAAUGAAGUGCUGUUUGUCGUCGUACAGAAGGCUCUGUGAAGGCUGCUGAAUACAGCCACUCCUAGCAUAUCUAGUUUCUUUUAACGCUAGGCUGCAUCUCCCUGUGUGCUUUCUGAUAGGACUCUCCUGUGCUCCACAACAUGGACUGUAGCUGUUUACUAUACAGUUAGGACAUGUGUUCCUCUUUUUUUUUUCUUCUUUUUUUCAUUUAUUUUAUUUAUUUAUUUAUUUUUUAAUUAUCUAUUUAUUUGUUUUGCUUUCUGAGCUUGUAAAUGCAGCGGGUUGCUUGUUCUAAGAGGUGGCUGCCAAAAAUUACCUGUGUACAUGUGGUACUCUUGGGGAUUAUUAUUAAUAUUAUUACUAUUCUGUUCAUGGAUGUGUUGCACAUGCAUUGGUUGUUUCUGACUUCAGUUGUUUGAAUAAAAGAAAAAAAAAAACAAAAAAAAAAAAAACUGGGUUGUGAAUGACACUGAUGGA